CACUCACUCUCUCUCUCUCUCACACGUACAUCUCUUUCAAAUCCAUUUUCUCCCCAAAAGGCUCUCUUCCAUUUCGUCGAGGCUCCGGUGGCGAAGCAACAAAGUGAAAUGUGCAGUUACUGAAGGUCAGUAGCUAUCGCUGAUCUGCUCCUCAGGUCGUAUUGUUUGGCUGUUAAUACCCACUGUCAACCUCUUCUCAUCGGCGAUCAGGUAAGAGACUAGGAAAUUUGACAAGCCGCUUGGUGAAGGGAGUUAUGUUUCCUGGUCGAUCACAAGUCCACAAAACUUAAGUUAGGCUAUGGUUGUCCUGCUUUUGAAGAGGGUGCUCCUAAUAAAGCCCCAGAUUCCUCUAGAUAAGAAGUUUUCCAUUGUGUGAGCAAUGGUCAGUUCCUGAGGAUCCAUAAAGAACUUGCAGCAUAGCUUAGGCAAAGUUUGCACCAGAGUCACAGGGCACACUGUGAAUUCUAAGUUGGAACUUCUAGAGCUGUAUCUUAGCUUUGAUAACUUCUAGAGCUGUAUCUUAGCUUCUAGUUAGAAACCUCUUUGUGAUAACAGUACUAUUGGGAUUAAGUGGACUAUGUAAAUGCUAUAUUGGGUUUGAUUUAUAUAUGUAAAUCAUAAAUCAGUAAUACAAUGAACGAAGUUAUUCGUUUUAUUUUC